GCAUAUCAAUAAGCGGAGGAAAAGAAAAUAACAAUGAUUCCCUUAGUAACGGCGAGUGAAGGGGGAUAAGCUCAAAUUUUAAAUCUGCUAGGUUUUACCUGUCAGAGUUGUNUUUUGAAGAAGCGUUUUCCGCGUCUCGGUUGACCCAAAUCCUUUGGGAUAAGGUAUCAUGGAGGGUGAGAAUCCCGUCCGGUUGACCUUAUGAUGCUUUACGAUACGUUUUCAAAGAGUCGAGUUGUUUGGGAUUGCAGCUCAAAAUGGGAGGUAAAUUUCUCCUAAGGCUAAAUAUUGGCGAGAGACCGAUAGCGAACAAGUACCGUGAGGGAAAGAUGAAAAGAACUUUGAAAAGAGAGUAAAAUAGUACGUGAAAUUGUUGAAAGGGAAACGAUUGAAGUCAGUCGUACCGACGAGAAAUCAGCUCUUUGAGUGCGAACUUGUGGGCGUGCGUGAGCUUUACGGCCUCGCUGUUUGCAAUGUUUGUUCUUUUUGGGUGUACUUUUUCGUAUGGUAGGCCAACAUCAGUUUCGAAUAUCAUAAAAUGACCGGAGGAAUGUAGCUUCGAUCUCGUAUUGAAGUGUUAUAGCCUUUGGUAGAUGUGGUGUUUGGGACUGAGGAUUGCAACGAAUAUCCUUUGGGCUAUCCGUCUGAUCUCUGAAAGUUGCUUAGGUGCCGAAAGCAUGCUUACGGUUAUUUAAGUUGACGGUCAAAAGGUUAGAACGUGAUUACAUUCGUUAAGGAUGUUGACGUA
rnacentral:rRNA from 1 species